UACGAGGGGGGCAAGCGUUGUUCGGAAUUAUUGGGCGUAAAGGGCGCGUAGGCGGUGCGGUAAGUCACCUGUGAAACCUCUAGGCUCAACCUAGAGCCUGCAGGCGAAACUGCCGUGCUUGAGGGUGGGAGAGGUGCGUGGAAUUCCCGGUGUAGCGGUGAAAUGCGUAGAUAUCUGGAGGAACACCGGUGGCGAAGGCGGCAUCCUGGACCAACACUGACACUGAGGAGCGAAGGCCAGGGGAGCAAACGGG
rnacentral:rRNA from 1 species